CGAGCGGAGCCGGGCUUCCUUCGGCUUGACGCCCCGGUCCCAGGCGGCACAAAUCCAGCAUGACAAAGAGCAUAGAGCCUCGCCAGUCCCAGGAAGAGGGAAGGGCUCGAGGCCUCCUCCGAACAAGCUCCAGGCAGCAGAAGAGGCCUCGCUCUUGGCCCAGAAUUCACCUGCAUGAGGCGGCUCUCCUCGUCUGAGGCUCAGAGAAAAAGGCCGCUGCAGAUUGCCCCCUGCUCCGGGGGGGCUUCAAGACUUGCACGGUGUUGGGCAGAUUACACAAUUUGCAAAACAACGAAGGCCACCCUCUGCAAGAUGGAAAAGUUCCCGCAGAUUAAGGAAUGUUAGAGUGAUGUUGGACUGAAAACAAGUGGUUUCCAGCUGCACAGGUUAAAGUUAAUGAUAGACUAAGAUUAAAGAUCAAGAUUAAAGAUGUUUAAAGAAAUGGAAAUUUGAUAUUAAAAGGGAAAAUUUUAACGUUAUAUGAUACUAAGAUCAAGGAUUAGGUUUAAAAAAGUUGAAGUUAUAUAUUUUAACAUUUUAUUAAAUUAAAGAUUGGGAUUAAAAAGUGGAAAAGAAACUGCUGGACAAAUAAUGUGGAUUGGAAUACAAAAGAGGGAGGUAUGAGGAAGUCCAGAAAAUAAGUAAUUUAAAAUUGGAAAUGGAAAAGAGAGUUUGUUUUUAAUUGUUAUGCUUUUUGUUUUUUAUUGUUGAGUUUUGUAUUGUUUUUUGUGUGUGUUGUUUUUUUUCUUUUGUUGUUUAAAACUUUAAUAAAAAUUAUUUUUUUAAAAAAAGGAAAAGUUCCCGCAGAGCAGCUCAGGGAAUUGCAUGAAUGCCGGGGGAGAGUCAGCCAUUCCUCAACUGUAAGGUGCUGAGAUACUGACCUGCACUGGUCUCCUCUCUCAGUAACCCCUAGCCCUGCACUCGCACACACACUUGAUGUGACAUCAGAGAAUGCCAUCUAUUUCCUUUGCACUGAAUGAUGUGUCCAGUGGGGAGGCCAAGCCUUCCAUUUCCGCCCCUCAAAACAUGCUGGAGCUCAUAACAACCAGCACUUGGGAACGGGUGCAAUGGAGGACAGAGGCCUGUGCUGAUCAGUAGAGAGAAGAAAUUGUGAUACAGGUGCCUGUUCCCAUCACACGGAGAUGUUGGGUUGUGCAAUUAGAGUCUGUGGCAGAAGGACAACCCUCUUUAAUCCAGAUUAUCUGCACCUGCCCCAGACUGGAGAUUAUGCUUUAUUUCAACCUUUUCAGAGCUGGCUUUUGACAACUAGGGAUUGUCGUCGUUUCCAGUGGACAACUGCCCAAUCGAGGCAGGUCUGGUGAAGCUGAGAUGGCUUCAUCCAAAGCAUUGGGGAGGGUUCUCUGCAUGCUUAGUGUUGGCUGGUAUAUUCUUUCUCAGACUGUUCAUCCGCACCCAGG